AGUGAUUCAAAAGGCAAACUUCAAGAGAAUUUCGAGGGGAAUCUAGCGGUGAUCUCGAAAACGCGAGGGGAGGCUUCGUUGAGUGGGGAAGCAUUUGGAGACCGUUCGGAGAGGAAAAGAUCCGGUACCGUGAGUUGGAGCACGCGUGAUCGGCUUUCAGGUCCGAGCACUAGUAGCCAGCGUUGAUCGAGCUUGGAGUAGACUUAUCUGGAGACGGGGGGAUGGCUCGCACGCGUGGUAGGGCCCCAGCUAGGGGUAGAGGCCGACCUCGAGGUCGUGCCAGAGCUACAGCACCAGCCCAGGACCGAGAGCAAACUCCAGAGCCGGUGAUAGAGCCACCAGCAGCUCCAGCACCGCAGCAGCCGAUGGGUCCGGGAUCAGCCCAGCCACCGCC